rnacentral:rRNA from 1 species
UACGAAGGGGGCUAGCGUUGUUCGGAAUCACUGGGCGUAAAGCGCACGUAGGCGGCGCUGCAAGUCGGACGUGAAAUCCCUCGGCUCAACCGAGGACGUGCAUCCGAAACUGCAGUGCUCGAGUAUGGAAGAGGGUCGCGGAAUUCUCGGUGUAGAGGUGAAAUUCGUAGAUAUCGGGAGGAACACCAGUGGCGAAGGCGGCGACCUGGGCCAAUACUGACGCUGAGGUGCGAAAGCGUGGGGAGCAAACAGG